AGACGAUAAGACUAAACCACCCGCGAGGGUGGGGCGGAAAGCCCACGGGUCUCUCUGAGACAGCCGGGAUGCCGAA
rnacentral:ncRNA from 1 species